UACGUAGGUGACAAGCGUUAUCCGGAAUUACUGGGCGUAAAGCGCACGCAGGCGGUGCGUUAAGUCUGACGUGAAAUCUCCUGGCUUAACUGGGAGGGGUCGUUGGAAACUGGCGGACUUGAGGCGAUGAGAGGGGUGUAGAAUUCCCGGUGUAGUGGUGGAAUGCGUAGAUAUCGGGAGGAAUACCAGUGGCGAAAGCGGCACCCUGGCAUUAGCCUGACGCUCAUGUGCGAAGGCGUGGGGAGCGAACGGG
rnacentral:rRNA from 1 species